rnacentral:rRNA from 1 species
CCUACGGGUGGCAGCAGUGGGGGAUAUUGCACAAUGGGGGGAACCCUGAUGCAGCGACGCCGCGUGGGUGAAGAAGCGCCUCGGCGCGUAAAGCCCUGUCAGCAGGGAAGAAAAUGACGGUACCUGAAGAAGAAGCCCCGGCUAACUACGUGCCAGCAGCCGCGGUAAUACGUAGGGGGCAAGCGUUAUCCGGAUUUACUGGGUGGAAAGGGGGCGCAGCCGGCGAUGCAAGCCAGGAGUGAAAGCCCGGGGCCCAACCCCGGGACUGCACUUGGAACUGCGUGGCUGGAGUGCAGGAGGGGCAGGCGGAAUUCCUGGUGGAGCGGUGGAAUGCGUAGAUAUCAGGAGGAACACCGGUGGCGAAGGCGGCCUGCUGGACUGCAACUGACGUUGAGGCCCGAAAGCGUGGGGAGCAAACAGGAUUAGAUACCCUAGUAGUC